UGUUAAGGCUAGGGGGUCAUCCCGACUUACCAACCCUUUGCAAACUCCGAAUACCAAUGAGUACUACUCGGGAGACAGACGGCGGGUGCUAACGUCCGUCGUCAAAAGGGAAACAACCCAGACCGUCAGCUAAGGUCCCAAAGUGUAUGUUAAGUGGGAAACGAUGUGGGAAGGCUUAGACAGCUAGGAUGUUGGCUUAGAAGCAGCCAUCAUUUAAAGAAAGCGUAAUAGCUCACUAGUCGAGUCGGCCUGCGCGGAAGAUUUAACGGGGCUAAACAUACCACCGAAGCUACGGGUUUGCAGUUUACUGCAAGCGGUAGAGGAGCGUUCUGUAAGCGGUUGAAGGUGAAGGGGUAACCCACACUGGACGUAUCAGAAGUGCGAAUGCUGACAUGAGUAACGAUAAAGGGGGUGAAAAACCCCCUCGCCGAAAGACCAAGGGUUCCUGUCCAACGUUAAUCGGGGCAGGGUGAGUCGACCCCUAAGGUGAGGCCGAAAGGCGUAAUCGAUGGAAAACAGAUUAAUAUUUCUGUACCUCUGCUAACUGCGAUGGAGAGACGGAGAAGGCUAGGCUAGCGCGGCGUUGGUAGUCCGCGUUUAAGGUAGUAGGCGGUGUUCUUAGGCAAAUCCGGGAACACAUUACGCUGAGAGCUGAUGACGAGUCACUAAGGUGAUGAAGUAGUUGAUGCCAUGCUUCCAGGAAAAUCUUCUAAGCUUCAGGUUAGUAGGGAUCGUACCCCAAACCGACACAGGUGGUCGGGUAGAGAAUACCAAGGCGCUUGAGAGAACUCGGCUGAAGGAACUAGGCAAAAUGGUACCGUAACUUCGGGAGAAGGUACGCUGCUGUUGGUGAUGGGACUUGCUCCCUAAGCUGACGGCAGUCGCAGAUACCAGGUGGCUGCAACUGUUUAUCAAAAACACAGCACUGUGCAAAAUCGCAAGAUGACGUAUACGGUGUGACGCCUGCCCGGUGCUUGAAGGUUAAUUGAUUGGGUUAUCGCAAGAGAAGCUCAUGAUCGAAGCCCAAGUAAACGGCGGCCGUAACUAUAACGGUCCUAAGGUAGCGAAAUUCCUUGUCGGGUAAGUUCCGACCUGCACGAAUGGCGUAAUGAUGGCCACGCUGUCUCCAGCCGAGACUCAGUGAAGUUGAAAUUGCGGUGAAGAUGCCGUAUACCCGCGGCUAGACGGAAAGACCCCGUGAACCUUUACUAUAGCUUGGCACUGAACAUUGAACCUACAUGUGUAGGAUAGGUGGGAGACUUUGAAGCAUGAACGCUAGUUUGUGUGGAGUCGUCCUUGAAAUACCACCCUUGUAGUUUUGAUGUUCUAACUCUGACCCCUUAUCGGGGUUGAGGACAGUGCCUGGUGGGUAGUUUGACUGGGGCGGUCUCCUCCCAAAGAGUAACGGAGGAGCACGAAGGUUGGCUAAGUACGGUCGGACAUCGUACGGUUAGUGCAAUGGCAUAAGCCAGCUUAACUGCGAGACAUACACGUCGAGCAGGUACGAAAGUAGGUCAUAGUGAUCCGGUGGUUCUGAAUGGAAGGGCCAUCGCUCAACGGAUAAAAGGUACUCCGGGGAUAACAGGCUGAUACCGCCCAAGAGUUCAUAUCGACGGCGGUGUUUGGCACCUCGAUGUCGGCUCAUCACAUCCUGGGGCUGAAGUCGGUCCCAAGGGUAUGGCUGUUCGCCAUUUAAAGUGGUACGCGAGCUGGGUUUAGAACGUCGUGAGACAGUUCGGUCCCUAUCUGCCGUGGGCGUUUGAGAAUUGAGAGGGGUUGCUCCUAGUACGAGAGGACCGGAGUGAACGAACCGCUGGUGUUCGGGUUGUCAUGCCAAUGGCACUGCCCGGUAGCUACGUUCGGAAUCGAUAAGCGCUGAAAGCAUCUAAGCGCGAAGCGAGCCUCGAGAUGAGUUCUCACUAGAGCUAUAAGCUCUCUGAAGGGCCGUUGGAGACUACAACGUUGAUAGGUUGGGUGUGGAAGCGCUGUGAGGCGUUAAGCUAACCAAUACUAAUUACCCGUGAGGCUUAACCAU
rnacentral:rRNA from 1 species